GGGGUUGUGGCUCAGUGGUGGAGCACUUGCCUAGCACAUAUGAGGCCCUGAGUUCGACCCUCAGCACCA
rnacentral:tRNA from 1 species